UAUUAAGCAGUGUGCAAAGAAUCUACAAGGAAAUUACUUGAAAAAGAAAGAAAAAGAAGCAAACGCCUGUGAAAUUAACCUGGCUGAUCUAAGCCACUCCUCAUAAAGAUUCCCUUUCCAACCCUUCACCAUUUUAGUGGCCCUCCUUUGGGCACUCUCUAAUAGCUCAGUGUACUUUUUUAUGUUGUGGUGCCCAAAACUGCACAGUGGACUUGAGGGCACCACAGCACAGAGCAGGGUGGGACAAUCCCCUCCCUUGCCCUGCUGAUUCCCCCAUCUGUCCAUACAACCAGGGUUUCCCUUUCCCAGGAGCAGAAUCCAGCACUAACCCUUGUUAAAUUUCAUGUGGUUUUAAAGGGACUGAACCCCCCAUGGAACAGGUUGCUGCCCAGAGGGCAGAGGUUACAACAAACACAGGCACCGAAGUGAACACCCUGACUCAUAAAGCCCUGCUGACAUUUUCUUGCUCAAAUGCAGGGCCCAGGUGGGUUUGGAUUCUUGCUGAUCUACAAAGAAUUCCCACAUCGUGGUCAGUUUUCAGCUGGCUUAGAUAUACCAGGUUCUUCCUGCCAUCACAAUUUGGAGGCUGCUGGGUUGAAGAUCACCUCCAUCAGGUUCCAAAACCCAGUGAGUGCUGCAGCCAAGGAAAUUCUCCUUCAGAAGAUUUUCAGCUACUUCAAUCAAGAAAAAAUUUGUAA
rnacentral:lncRNA from 1 species